GCACUACUGACGAGUCCCACACAGGACAAAACAUCUGUCCAGUGC
rnacentral:hammerhead_ribozyme from 1 species